CGGGGGUGGUGGGCAGGAAUCUCCUCUCCCUCAUGGCACCCAUUUCCCCCAUAGCCCAUUUUGACUACCAGUUUGGCUACCGAAAGUUUGAUGGUGUGGAGGGGCCUCGUACGCCCAAGUACAUGAACAACAUCACCUACUACUUUGACAAUGUCAGCAGCACCGAGCUUUACAGUGUGGAUCAGGAACUGCUCAAAGACUACAUCAAGCGCCAGAUUGAAUACUACUUCAGCGUGGACAAUUUAGAGCGAGACUUCUUCCUGCGAAGGAAAAUGGAUGCUGAUGGUUUCCUACCCAUCACCCUUAUUGCUUCCUUCCACCGAGUGCAGGCCCUUACCACUGACAUUUCACUCAUCUUUGCGGCCCUAAAGGACAGCAAGGUGGUGGAGAUCGUUGAUGAGAAAGUUCGUAGGAGGGAGGAACCAGAAAAGUGGCCUCUUCCCCCAAUAGUGGAUUAUUCACAGACUGAUUUCUCCCAGCUUCUCAACUGCCCUGAAUUUGUUCCCCGUCAGCACUACCAAAAGGAGACAGAGUCGGCACCUGGCUCUCCUCGUGCAGUCACCCCAGUGCCAACCAAAACAGAGGAGGUCAGCAACCUAAAGACACUACCCAAGGGCCUGUCUGCCAGCCUGCCUGACCUGGAUUCUGAGAACUGGAUUGAAGUGAAGAAGAGGCCUCGGCCAUCCCCAGCACGGCCCAAGAAGUCAGAGGAGUCCAGAUUUGCCCACCUGACCUCUCUGCCUCAGCAGCUGCCUUCCCAGCAGCUGAUGUCC
rnacentral:sRNA from 1 species